AGGUCGGUCGCAGGAUUGAGAUAUGGCUUUCAAACUAUGAAAUGGUUCGGAUUGUGGGCUAUUAGCUCAGGUGGUUAGAGCGCACCCCUGAUAAGGGUGAGGUCCCUGGUUCGAGUCCAGGAUGGCCCACCUGAGGAAAUGUUGAAGGAUGAAUGAUAAAUGAUGAAUGAAAAAACUUUCAAAAUUUAGAAUUCAUAGUUCAUAAUUUCUUGAGGGGGUUUAGCUCAGUUGGUAGAGCGCCUGCUUUGCAAGCAGGAUGUCAGGAGUUCGAGUCUCCUAACCUCCACCUGUAAUGACACUUAUGAAGCAAUCAAAAUUUGUUAACUUCCACCUUUGUGGAAGU
rnacentral:tRNA from 1 species